CAACUACUCCCUCUGUCCCAAAUUUCUUGUCUUAGAUUUUUCUAGAUACGGAUGUAUCUAAUACUGAAAUGUGACUUUAUACAUCCAUAUCUAGACAAAUCUAAGACAAGAAUUUUGGAACAGAGGGAUUACUUU
rfam:Triticum urartu cultivar G1812 contig888892, whole genome shotgun sequence.